UACAGAGGUCUCAAGCGUUGUUCGGAUUCAUUGGGCGUAAAGGGUGCGUAGGCUGCGGGGUAAGUCUGAUGUGAAAUCCCGGGGCUCAACCCCGGAACUGCAUUGGAUACUGCCUUGCUAGAGCACUGGAGAGGAGACUGGAAUUUACGGUGUAGCAGUGAAAUGCGUAGAUAUCGGUAGGAACACCAGUGGCGAAGGCGGUCUCCUGGGGCAUUCUUGACGCUGAGGCGCGAAAGCUGGGGGAGCGAACGGG
rnacentral:rRNA from 1 species